AUGCGUGUUAAUUUGUUGGCAACGACGAAGAAAAGCGAUGCCUGGGGAAAAUUUGCAACGACGAUGACUCUGCACCAAGCGGGGAUGUUUGUUCAUUCCAUAAUAAAUUUGAAGUCAAGGACAUGUUCUUGGUGUUGUUUUCAAUACCUGGAUAACAAGACUCCAAUCUUUGUAGACCAACUUAUUUGUGUUUUCUUUCUUUAUAUUUCAAUAAAAAGCGCAUCUCGGCGACUUACUUCUUCAAUCAUUGGACAUCAGAUUCAAUCUAGUGUGCCAUCUUAUUACAUAGUUUUGUUGUCAUCCGAAGGUGUAGCGGUCCAGUAUUUUGUUCUAGUUAUCCGAUAG
rnacentral:rRNA from 1 species